CGCAAAGAGGAGCCUGCUGGUCUGCUGGCGGGCAGGCGGCGCUGGGCCGGAGCCUCUCCCUCCGGUGCGCACAGCGCACCCUCUCCUCCCCCGGCCGCCCGUCGCAGCGCGGAGAGGGCGUGUCGGCACCCUGCCUGGCGAGCGCCCACCCCUACAAUGGCUGCGAGCGCGCGGGACGGAGGGUGCACCGCCGCUCCCCGGGGACUUGCACGGGUGGCGCGCCUAGCCCAGAGCCCGCUUGUAGUGAGCGCUCAGUAGGGCGGGAAAGCUGCUGCCGCUACUGCGGCCUUCUGAGAAGACGCCCAUUCUCUGAUGUCAGGACUGCAUCGCCGAGUCCUGAUUGCAAAUAGCGAAAUAUAUAAUUAAGGAGAGUUCGGGGGCGUAUCCUGCAAUGGGAUGCCGAGUUCGAUAAAGUUGCAGGAUGCUGGGAAAGUGGAUUGAUUUGCUGUUGCUAAAUGAAUGGAAACAGCGUUAGAGCUUCUGUCCACGAUCCAUCAGUCUAUCGAGAUUGCUGAUUGCCUAUGACUUGGACGGUUGAUGGUUUUCAGGCCCACUGAGAGCAGCCAGCGUUGGUAUAACCGCAGGGAGCCCUCCUGGGAGGUUGAACCUGCAGAGCGCAAAUGUGCCCAGGUUGAUUUGGGGCCUAGUGGUCCAUUUUCACAGCUCCACUGCCUAUCUGCAUAACCAGGAGCCCUCAUUCAGAUGAACGCCAAAUGGGCCAGAGGGAGGAGAAUCAAAUGAGCAACUUUUAAAAGAUAUUAAGACAUAGGCACCUAACUCCGGACAGUUCCUUUAACCCUUGAGCUAACCAUUUGAAGCACAAAACAUAACAAAAGAAAAGACUGGGGGGAGUGGGGCCAAAAGAAACCAAGUGCAAAAUUCUGUACACUUGUGUCAGAUUCACUCCGUAAUGGGAAAAGGUCUGGCUUUGAAAACUUUAUGGAUCAAAGGGAUGCAUGGAGUUACACAGCACAGCUGCAGAAGAUAAUGUUCCCCUGGAUCACUCUGCCCAACUCUUAACUGCAACCCACCUUCCCCAUCCGUCUCCCCGAAAUCACCCGGAAGGGUGUUACCUUCAGGAAGUAACUGAUCUCUUGAUCACCCCUGCUGGAUCCUGUCCCCAAGGGCGUUCGAAUGCAUCCGACUCAUCUUCACCUUGCCAAUAACGGGUGCUUGACACAUCGUUUGCUGCCAAUCAUUAUUGUGAUUUUAAUACUAUUGGUAUUCUAACUAUCAAGAUGACUGCUUGUAGAGCCAGAUUGCCUGGAUUCAAACUCCAGUUCACAACCUACUAACUGUAUGCCUUUAGGUAAACUCAGAUGCCUCUGAUGGAUUCGAAAUAACCAGAUAUAUUUCUGAAUUGCUUCAUAUGUGAGAAGAAACAUCAGAAGCACUUGAGGGACCAAAAGUGGGUCCUCCAG
rnacentral:lncRNA from 1 species